AAACAAGGUAUUCCUCUCCAUACUUUACAUAUUCUGCAUGGCACAUGCACCUGAGACUGCAUUUCAAAAGACUUUGAACACAAGCACAGCAGAUGCAGUCAGCUUGCUUCCCAUCAUUUCCAAAGGGUGAAAGAAAAAAAGAAACGAGGGAAAGAAAAACUACCUGCGUUACAUCAACAACAGGUAUGAACUUGAUUCCUGGGACAAGCAAAUCUCCUGACUUUUUUCAGAUUGUGCAACUAGCUCUUUAGAGAGGUGUGUUUCUGUCCACAGUCAGGAAAGACUAAUUCAGUUGUUUCAAGCCAUGCAUCAGCCCUUCUAAAAACUAUUAAUUCUCUGCUCCUGCUCUAUGUUUAAGAAGAAGGAAAGGAAAGAAAACCCUGCUUUUUUCGCUGCUGGCAGAUUUCCAAGAUAAAGACGACUGCACUCUGCCUGGAACCGCAGUCGGGGCCUGCUCUCGGAACUCACAAAAGAGAAAACCACACACAGAGAAAAAGCGACGGACCUGACCGGCCAGAAGCGUUUUCUCACCCUCUAGACCAGUUUCUCAAAAAAAAAAAAAAAGAAAAAAGAAGAAAAAGAAAAGAAAGAAAGGAAAAACCCGCCAGCCGGCGGCAGCCCGCUCCGCGCCGUUCCCACGCACCGCGGGGCCGGGCGGCCGCUGAGCGGGGGACGAGGGACGGCCAGGUCGGGCCGGGAUAAAUAACUCUAAUUUAACGAGGGGGAAACAGAAGCAGCACCGAGUUUUCCCGGCUUCGACCCCCGCCACGGCCAGGAAAGAAGUUGGGACUUUCCCUCCGCCGCUCCCAAAGGGAGGCAGCGGCGCUGCCCCGCGCCCGCCCCCGCGGCCCCGGCGCGGCUCCUACCUUUCUUCUCCUCCACCACGGAGCAGAGGGCGACGCGCCCCAGCAGCAGCAGCAGCACCGGGACAGCGGCCCCGCGGGGCCCGGCGGCGGCGGCGGGGCUGCGGCCGCCCAUGCUGCGGGACGGCCGCUGGCGCGGUGCGGCGCGGCUGGGCGCACGGAGGGCUCUUCUCGCGCGGAGCUGCCCCGCUCCUGGCGCUGCCGCCGCGCUCAGCCCCGCUCCGCGGCGGCCCCCCGCAGCAUGCCGCGCCGUCGAGGGCUGCGCGCACACGUGCGUGCCCGGCUGCGGGCGCGCUGCCUGCCCGGCCUUCCUCCUCCUCCUCCUCUUCCUCCUCCUCCCGGUGCAGGCGGCGGGGCGCGCGGGGCUGGCGGAGCGGCUGUGGGACGGGGCGCGCCCGGCUGCGCUCUCCGCCCGGCCGCGGAGCGCAGCGGCUCCCUCUGGGGACGCCGCGGAGGAGGAGGAUGGGGCGGGAGCAAGGAGGAGGAGGAGGAACCGGCGGCGCCUUCCCCGCCCAGGUGGGAGAGGGCGGCCCCGCCACCUGUGCCGCGUGGGGGCGAGGCGGGGGGGCCGCGGGGAAAUCCACGGACACCAAGGAAAAGCGCUCACGCUCGGCUCCCCCCGCUGCAGCGCUUCCCCCACGGAGGGCAAAGCGUGCUGUUCACUUUUUGGCAGCAGUAUCUUGGUUUCGCUGAACACCUCUCCCGCAAGGCGGGAGGAAGCGGUGUCCCGGCAGACAGGCGUGUAGCCGGGGCGCGGAGGUGUCGGUCGUCCCGGCAGGGACCUCAGCGUUCAGAGUUGUUAAAUGCUGUUGCUAAUUUCUGCAUCACGCUCUUGUGAGGACCGGCGUCUUCAAUCCCACAGGCAAUCGGAUACGAAGCUCGGGAACUGCUGUGAUUAACUGGGAACUCCAGCACUGAGGGCCAUGACGACAUGGGCUCCGGGAGGUUGUGAUUGCCUAUCGCAAUUUGUUGGAACACAAUAGAUUGCAAAAGAGCCGCUGAGUGUAUCUUGACUUUCCCCUGUGAUGCAUGUUUUAUGCUGCAUUACUGUUCUCCUGCCAGUCAACUUCCUCCGCUCUAUCUUUUCCUGAUAGUUUAACUACUUCCUGACCCAACUAGAUGUAGGAAAACAGCCCCAUUUACUCAUAUUAGUACAAAAACGAUGCUUGGUCAGAUGCCUUUAACCAUGUAUCCCAUCAUGCCUGUAAAGAUUUAUUAAGAUAUAUUGGGUUACAAGUGAGUUUCUCACUGUGCAGCUUUUGCAUGCUAUAGCUGACAUUCUGUUUUGAUUAUAUUUUGUAAAUAAUGCAAAAGAAGUACCUUGAAGUAAAUUCAGGCAUUAGUAGCAUCGGGUGCCACUCUGCUCAUCUGAUUGGUUUCAUGGCUGUAACUAAGGGCAGCAUUUGAUCUUUCAACGUGAUAUUUAUGCAGUUUGCUUCAAAGAUGCUCAUGCAGUGCAGCCUCAUAAACAUUAUGUGUAUACAAUUGGUUUUCAUCUAUUUGGACACAUAGGAGGAUUUUUAAAAAUCACAGGCCAAGGAAAAGAGAUCAACUUCCAGGGAGGGAGGGUUGCAAAGCAACCUCAAAAAAUACUAAAGAUUGCAGCUUGCAUUAUAAGGACAUACAAUUAAGACACGAUAGAAACAAGCCUCAAAUCAGUUUUAUAGAUAAAUAUUAAACAAAAACAUUUGCCUCUAGACACACGCAUUGGAUCAAGAUACAACUGUUGAAAGCAAUGGAGUUCUUGACAUCUGAAAAAAGAAAGGAACCAGAGUGAUAACUGAAAAACAAACUAAACAUAGGAAAAAAGAAAAUCUCUCUGGUGCAUGAAUUGAAUGGAAAAACUUGUCAAAGUCCUGUCCUACCAUACUAAUGUACAAAUGCUUUCGCUGCAGAAUUUUUCAUGCAGUUGUGAUUCUACCUGCUAUUCUGAGCAGGAACUUUUCAAACUCACUUCACCUCCCACCAUGCACUGUACUUACGUGAAUCUAUAUAAAACUGAAUAUCUGAUCAUAGUUAAACUCCUUCAUUCCUGGCAUGAUGGGCAAGGGAAGACCAGGCGAAUUCCCUUUGAAAUUUUUUCCCACGCUGCAAAAAUCCACUAUAGGAAAAUCUAGUGUGAUGCUGGCCUUGCAGUACCCCUGACGGGGCAGUGUGGCAAGCUGCCAUCACUUUUGUCUUCUGACCUUUUUGAGCCCAAAUGUGUUAUUUUCAUGACAUUUGUCCUCUACUCGUGAAGGUCACAACAUACAUGAAGAGACUGUAAGACCCGAGGUCUUGGAUGCUUACAAUGAUGUUCGGGUCUUUCGGGCCUUCUGUUGGCUCCUAUUUGCACAACUGAACAACUUCUGGAACAGUUUAAAUUUAAAAUAUGACAUUUUCCCAAAAAGCCAGUCACGCACCCAGUGAUUGCAUUUGGUAUAACUCCUUUGAGGCUAAUGUCACUACACAAAUUUGAGCAUGGGCAUGCAAUAUCCCUUCACAUUGCAAAACUUUUAUUACCAGCUUCAUGCAUGUAUGAAUUAAAGGCCACGAGACAAAGAUCAACCUUUCCACCACUAGCUUUAAAUUAAUAUUUCGUAGUGAGACUAUCACAUUAAAUGCAAAAUCUCUCUUCAGCUUCUCUGCGACUCACUCUGUUUUAUAUUGCAUACAUAUCUCCCGUCUGCUAGAUAUGAAGCAUAAACACACUGACGUAUGAAGUAAAGUCCAUGUAAAGCGAGAGUUCCUUCAUAUGCAGAUACUGCUGGGCUGGGGAGCAGAACCACGAUUGCUCACCACCUGCGGCCCGUGCUGCUGAGCUGGUCCCUCUGCCGCGCGUGGAGAGCGGGAACCCACAGAGGACAAACCACCGAUUUCCCUACAGAAAUCAUACAUCUCUACAUGAUUGCAUCGAAUACAGUCUGAACAUGCUGCCAGUAUACCUGAUGUCAGUGGAAGCAUCGCUACCAUCGCCAGUUCACACUGCAUCGUUUUUCAAGACAGGCAACUAUUAAUAGCAGGUGCCCAGCUAUUAACACGAAUACUGCUGCUUACGUUGCUCUCGCUGUACAUCCCCGCACUGGCGAAGAAGGAGCUUUAGACCUCUGCUCAUCUAAUUCCUGCCCCAGCCAAGUAGGCUGCCAUAGCCCACACAUGUCCUAGAUGUAAAUAGAGAGAGAGAGGGCAUGGGGACAUGCCCCAAACUUUGCUCUCUGGAAGUCAAAAGUGCCCCAAAGCUGAGCUCAGGUGUGCCGGCCAGCUGGAGCUGGGUGCACUCAUCCUGCCCAGUCCCUACCCUUCACAGUCAAUGCAGCUCUUUGAUCUGCACCCUGCCCAGCUCCCCCGCUGAAGUUCAAUAGCAUGCACAAAUAUAACAAGUGAGUGUACACAAUACUGUCUCCUCAGGUGUUUUUAGAGCCACAAAAUGCAUGACUAGGACGGAGGGAGGAAAAUCGAUAGCCCUGAGUCAACACAUGAAGAAUGUGAUUUGCAUCCAGCGUGCGGCAGACGGGAGUUUCUCCAACCCAGCCAUCUCCUGCUGUUUGCAUCCAAAGAGGACACAGAUAUGAAAGAUAAGAGAUUGCAACACCACAAUUCUCCUGAACAGCGGCAGCUACCAGUCCUUAUUUGCGCUAACUGAUAUUGAAAAAGUCAGCCUUCCCUUCUAUCCACGUGGUGACUCACUAUUUUGCAUUGUGGAGGUAUCUCUGCUCUAACUCACUUUGCUGCAUUACUUCCUGUAUAUGUUACUCAAGUUAAAACAAAAACACACAUAGACCAGCUCUACUAGUAAGUUCAAUGUUUUCAGGACCCUUCCCCAGCAUGUAAACCAGCUGCCACAGAGUAGCUUGUGUCCAUAAUGUUAAACUCAUCAGUUCUUUCCUCCAAGCCCUAUAAGAUAAUAGGCAUGCUAAUGAUCAGAGACACUUCAUUGCUUGUUGCCUACCUGUGACUCCGGAGAUAGGUCACUGAUUUUGCCUUUUCCAGAGGAAAACUUGGCCCAAUAGCAAAACUGUCACUGAAGAGAAUGGGAAAAGAAUUCUUUUUAUUGUGUAUUUUAAAGUUUUGUCCCCAAACAUUAGUCAUGGAGUAGAUGGUGAUUUUGUUUUGAAGCAAAAUAAGUCAAAAUGCUUUGAAAAUAAAUUCUAUCACAUUUUAUUCAGUACUGUAUAGUUAAAUAAUAAAGACAUACGUAGCGAA